AAGAUUUUAAGUUAAAUAAACUAGAAGCCUUCAAAGCUUCCAAUAAGAUAAUUCUUAAAUCUUG
rnacentral:tRNA from 1 species